ACGUGUUUACACUAAUUAAUGUCGAAGUCAUGUGACUAUCUAGGUUUCUUGCCAUGGACUACAACCUCGCAGUGUUGAAGCUCUUCAUCGGCGAACUGAAAGAUGCUCGGCCCUCUACCUCCCCGUCCUCAACCAGCGAGCCUGGAUGCAGGCUGGGGUUUUGGUGUCGCGAUCCGAUGAGGGUGCUUCCUCAUCGACGACGGUUCCGGCGUCGUCGGGUUCCUCCUAUCAGCCGAAUCCCAUCCUCAGCGGUGGAACAUUGGUAGAAAGAAACUCCCCUUUUAAUCUUUGAUCUCUUCUCCAUCUGCGGUUGCAGGGAUAGGAGUAGACACUCCCCUUUUAACAUUGGUCGAGCCUCAGCACUUUACCAUAUUAUGAAUCAUUUCUUAGUUCCUGGGAUAUACUUGUCCGGAUUUCUAGUUGUGGAAUAGUGCUGAAUUUUCGUUUCCAUAUAUCCGUUCUGAUUUUUAGUUUUGGAAUUUUGCUGAAGUUUCAUUCCAGUUCAUCUUGGAAUACUGUAGGGUGAUGAGAGGUUCCCAGUUGCUGAAAUGUCCAGUUGUGCUGGUUUAUGAUGUCGAAGUCAGGUUGAAGCUGAUACUUGUAAAUUGCAGUUGUAAUAAUGCUGUUACUAUAACUUAGAGGAUACUGAAAGUGGUAGUUGUUGAUUGAUGUUGUGUGCUGAAAUUGAAAUUUCUUUCCCAGAUUCUUUGUUCAAGAUCUUAACCUUGCGAAUCCUUUUUUUUAUGCUGGUUUAGAAGCUUAAAGUUGAGUGAAAGAAUACACUUUUGCUUGUUUUCUUUUCAGGUUAUACAUGCAAAUAGAUAGUAUUAAUUGAAAUAAAUUUUGUUACAAUGGAGGUAGAUAGGAGAGGGUCAGAGUUUUUUAUUUUUGUUUUUGAGGAAAUUGUAGGAAUUUUGUGUUUGAAAGUUGAUGUACAUUUUUUUUCUGUUGCGUAUGUUUACUUGCCCUGUUUAAAAAAAAAGCAAUCUAAAUUGACCUUUCUUUUGAUCUGUUAGUGGUGAAAUUGUUGAAUUGUCAAAUCCAACAUGGGUUUGUUAUUAAGUAAAAGCUCUGUGAAGAUGUCUCUAGAUUUAUCAAAGAUCAAUGUUCAGACAAAUGUAUCUUGAAUUUCUUCUGUGUCAUGUCUUGCUUCAUCACAAGUGUGUAGCAAAGGAUCUGGUAGGUGAAAGACAAAUCUUUUGAGCUUCAAGAUGAUGUUUCUCUUGUUGUUUUAAGUUAGAUUGUUUGUUCUUUCAUACUCUUUUGCUGCUGCCAUUAUUUGUUUACUUUAAUGACUAGGAGCAUUCUUGAGAAUCCUCUUUUCGCUUCAUGAAAAAAGGAACAAUAUAAUCAUGAAAAGAAUUGCGAAAUUUGAUACUAGAAACCAUAGCUCCGUAAAUCCAUAUUAUUCCAGGUUCACAAGAUUGUUGACCUCUCUGAACACCCAAACGAGAAGCACUGUGGAACUUAGAGGUCAUUUAGGCACAUAAAUUGUUCUAUCUUACAUCACCAGCCUUCGUGACUCUGCAUCAUUGUGCAAUACUAAGGAGCGAUAUUUUUUGUUUAAUUUCUGGUUCACUUUACCCAAAAGCUUUGAGAGGGAAGAAAGGAAACUAAAUGCUUUCAUUGUCUUAAUCUCAGCUUAUUAAGGAAUGUUUUUUGAUGUACUGAUAUUUGGGAACCAAGUAUUUGAUCAAGCCAAUAGUCUUUGCUAUCUUUUUUUUUCCAUGUAAAAUUUGACAAACAUUUCUGUAAAAUAGACUAUUUAUAUGUUAGAUCAGCAGCAGUUCCUUAUUCACUGCAAUGAUGUUACUGUGUUGAACAUUGUAGUGUUUUUGGUGAAAAACACCAUGGACCAUGUGAAGCCUUCAUGAAACUGUAGUCAAAAGGCUUUGCUGUUAUUUUUUUGUUAAUAAAUGGUGCUCUUGGUACAGUUUGAUGUAGAAUCUAAUUGCAGUUUUUAGCUUUGUGUCAUUUUUUAGCCUGGAUUUUGAUGCAUCUGUGCAUUAUUAUUCCUAUAUAAUCCACCCUUAGAUGUGUAUGUGACUGAGUGAUGAUCUUGUUUACCAGAGUUUCCUUCAUUGGCUUUUUAGUAUCUUGAUAAUGAAUAGGCAUUUCCCAUGUAGCUUAAUUACUAUAAUGAUGUUCUAAUAUACUACAACAAUUGGCCACGAGUGGCAUUUCCCUGGGUAACUUAAAUUAACUUAAUCAUGUGUCUAAUAAAUUAUAACAAGGAGCAUGAGUUUUAACCAUUUUGAAUUGGCUAUUUAGACAUUUUGCAUCGUCAUAACAAUUGAUUAAGAUCGAUGGUCAAGAUUUUUGGUAUUAUUUUAUGCUGACCGCUAAGGUCCAAUGUAGCUCUCAGUCAUUUCAUCCAAGUCUGAGAUUGACAUUUGUCUUUGAUAUGGUUUGUAAAAAUGCAAUUUACUUAGGCCCUGCUUAAACUAAACAUUUGUGUUCCCAUGAAGAGUUGAAUUACUUUAGCUUUAUGGAAUAUCAUUGUGAAUGAACACUUUUAAGUACUAUCUAUGUGACCUUACUAAGCUUUUUCAUAUGUUAAUUUUCAGGACUGGUUGGGCAUUGAUCAUGUAAAGCUUUUGUAUGAACCCACUCUGGUCCAGGUCAGGUCUCUUGUUGAACUCAAAAAGAAUGUCUUCUAGAGCUAAGAUUACCUCCGAAGUAAUUAGUUGAGAUAUCAUCACAUUUCACUGUGCAAAAUUCAGUUUGUUUUAUGUCUUUGCAUCUGCUAGUGGUUCAAAAAGUUUAGUCUGUUAUAUAAUUCUGCAGAGCAUAUUGUUGUAUCUGAGGAACAUGCUGCAGAGCAUAUUGUUGUAUCUAAUUCUUUCUUAAGAUCUUGGACCGAUAAAUUCUCCUUCAACUUCAAUUUAUGAUGCAUAAAAUGAUGAACCUUAUAAUAUCGAACCUGGGGUGACCGGUCCGGUCCCACAGAAGUUUCCCACCGGUCGUCAGGUAAAUUAGGAAGUGCUCGCGAUGAGUGACCCAUCUCAUGAUUGCACGCCCCAUUUCCACACUAUUUGGGAGGAGAUGAGGUAAGGGGAGGGAAGGGUAGCGAAGGAGAUGAGAAACUUGAAACCUUGCUUGGAAGGAAGUGAGCUACGAAAAAGGAAAGUAAGGAAGGGUCAGUUUUAAACCCCCUUACCCUUCCUUACACCCCAAAGGGAAGGUAUUCUUUGCAUGGCGAAGAAAAACACUCGCACCGCCCGACGGUCGCACUUUGCCGACUUCGACGCCAACGCUGACAUCGACUUCAACGCCAACUUCAAUGCAAACGCCGAUUUUGACGCUGACUACGACGCCAACACCGACGUUGUUUUGACGUCAACGUCGACGCCGACUUUAACAAAUGAGCUACAAUUGCUUGAACGUAUUUUUGCCUACUCCACCUGAUCAUCCCGCCAACUUGGGGAGGGCCAUCGUAGAUAGACAUGGAAGAGUCUGUUGGGUUUGAUGGAGGUUAGAUUUCACCUGGUAAAGGUAAAUGCUUUCUGUUAUUUAUUUUUAUCAUUCAGGUAUCCGGGCUUUGCCCGACUCUAAUUCUAGAGCUAGACGGUUUAACCCAUGGUUCACUUAUUGGAUAAAUCCGGACAACAAUUUAUGCACACUCACUGCACUAGGAGCAAAGGUAAAUGCAUUCUGGCUACCUACUCGCGUGAGAUGGAUUAAAAACUGUCUAUGUCUGCAUUAAGCAGAUGCUGACCUGUGGCCAGUAGAUCCUUGGCAGACUCCAGUAGCAUGUGAUGUUAAUGUAAAACGAAACCAUUUUGGUUGCGUCCUUUCCCAUCACAUCUGUCAUUGCCAACUAAUGAUACCAUAUUUUUUAUCCGAGUAGUGAGCAGUAUGUA